rnacentral:rRNA from 1 species
UGGAUAGUAAUACUAAUGAAAUUUAACGGAUUUGGCGGCAAGAUAGCCACUUAGAGGAACCUGCCCUGUAAACGAUGAGCCACGAUUAACCUUACUUUUACUAGAAUUCAGUUUGUAUACCGCUGUUGUCAGUUAGUUUCUUUAGAAAACUUUCGUGCAUGAUAAAUUCAAGGACUUCAAGUAAAGGUGCAGCUUAUGUAAAAGAUAGAGGUGGGUUACAAUUAAAAGAGUAAUAUGGAUAAAGUUAGGAAAAAACUUUUGAAGGUGGAUUUAAUAGUAAAGUUUAAUAAGACUUGAUUAGAGCUCUAUCUUGUGUACACACCGCCCGUCGCUCGCGGGA